rnacentral:lncRNA from 1 species
UCCCCAGAACACGACUUGGGACUUGCUAGAAGUGCCUCUCCCUCCUCCUCUUGGCGCCCGCGCACCCCCCGCGUCUUCCUUGCUGUCUCCCUCACCACCCCUUUUCUCCAGCUCCCUCCAUCUCCUCUCCUUCCUCCAUGGUACCUCUCCUCCUCCUCCUCCCCUCCCCUCCCUCUCCUCCUUCUUCUCAUCCCUUUCUAUUCCUCGCCCGCCCUUCCUUGCUGUCUUCCUCACCACCCAUUUUUCCCUCACUCUCUCCAUCCUCUCCUCUCCUCCCUCUGCUCCUCUUCCCUCUCCUCCCUGAUCCACCGCCCCUGCGCCCCCACCGCACACGCUGUCCAAACCAAGGGACGGCGUGCUGGGAUUCGCCUCGCCCAGGAUGCUGCAAGGGCUGGUCCAAAGAAAACCCAUCCUAGCGCCCCAUUUAGACGGAGAAGGUCCGCUUGGACAGAGGGGCUCACCCAGAGACUGUCUCCAACUGCCCUCCUGGCGCUGUUGGGAGCUUGGUCUCCAGACCGGGGGCGCUGCCGACUCCCGGGUACGGGAACCUCCGGCGGAGUCUCAGUGCCUCUGACUGCUGAAUCGUCCUCCUGUGGCGCGCCAAGAGCCGCCUUGCCCAAGGGAGAGCUCCCAGCCCAAAGGGCAAAAUCACACGGAAUUGCCGGCUUCUAUCUGAGACAGACAGCCGUCCUCUACUGUGAAUGGGAUUCGGGAUUCGAACGGAAGCUGCCAGAGCCCCUACACCUCGCGCCGUGAGCACAGCGCCACCCACGACCUGCGGCGGUGUGGUUGGGUGUACCCAGGUGGGGCAGCGGCCGGAUCUCAGCCCUGAAUAGUCACCGAGUUCUGCUCUGCGCGGUGUUUUCUCCUGGUCCUUAUCAGAUGCCAUUGGUCUCUCUGCAACAUUUGGGGCACCGAAGCCAACUUGACCUGCCUGAUGCAAACAUCUGGAUUCCAGGGGAACUACCAGGGCCAGUGGCUGAAGGCACAAGCAUCGAAUCACCAGCUCUUCAGACUCCAG